CGCCAGAGCCGUCGGACAGGUCCCAGCGCGGGGAGCAGCCCAGCCCUAUCCCUGCGCCUGUCUGGCCGCACCCACCAGCCCCAAGGCAGGUUAGGGGCGGGGGGCCAUGGCCCAGCCCGGGGAUGGGGAGGCCAGCAUGUCUAUCCUGGAGCGGCUGCUAGCCAACGCUGCGCUGAGGGAUGAGGCUGGCCGGCUCCGAAGCCCUGAGCCCAGGGCUGUCCCGCCCACAAGGGGGCUCCUUGGCUGGUCCCAGAAAGAUCUGCAGAGUGAAUUUGGGAUCACAGGAGACCCACAGCCCAGCAGUUUCAGUCCUUCCAGCUGGUGUCAAGGUGCUUCUCAGGACUAUGGCCUUGGGGGUGCAAGCCCUAGAGGAGACCCAGGUCUCGGAGAGAGGGACUGGACCAGCAAGUAUGGGCAAGGAGCAGGGGAAGGGAGCACUAGGGACUGGGCCAGCAGGUGUGGCAUCGGCCAGGAGGAGAUGGAGGCUAGCAGCAGCCAAGACCAGAGUGAAGUGUCUGCCCCAGGGGCGCUCACAGCCCAGGACCGGGUAGUUGGAAAGCCAGCCCAGCUGGGCACUCAGCGGAGCCAGGAGGCAGAUGUUCAGGACUGGGAGUUCAGAAAGAGGGAUUCCCAGGGCACUUACUCCAGCCGGGAUGCGGAACUCCAGGACCAGGAAUUUGGGAAGAGAGAUUCACUGGGUACUUACAGUAGUCGAGAUGUAAGCCUCGGGGACUGGGAAUUUGGGAAGAGAGAUUCUCUGGGUACUUAUGCCAGCCAAGAUGUCAACGAGCAGGGCCAAGAUUUGGGGAAGAGGGACCACCGUGGCAGGUACAGCAGCCAAGAUGCCGAUGAGCAGGACUGGAAGUUUCAGAAGAGAGAUGUGUCACUCGGCACCUAUGGCAGCCGGGGUGCGGAGCCACAGGAACAGGAGUUUGGGAAGAGCGCUUGGAUAAGGGA
rnacentral:sRNA from 1 species